AUUGAACGCUGGCGGCAGGCCUAACACAUGCAAGUCGAACGAGUGGCGGACGGGUGAGUAAUGUCUGGGGAACUGCCCGAUGGAGGGGGAUAACUACUGGAAACGGUAGCUAAUACCGCAUACUAUCGGAUGUGCCCAUAUGGGAUUAGCUAGUAGGUGGGGUAACGGCUCACCUAGGCGACGAUCCCUAGCUGGUCUGAGAGGAUGACCAGCCACACUGGAACUGAGACACGGUCCAGACUCCUACGGGAGGCAGCAGUGGGGAAUAUUGCACAAGGGGCGCAAGCCUGAUGCAGCCAUGCCGCGUGUAUGAAGAAGGCCUUCGGGUUGUAAAGUACUUUCAGCGGGGAGGCGUUACUCGCAGAAGAAGCACCGGCUAACUCCGUGCCAGCAGCCGCGGUAAUUC
rnacentral:rRNA from 1 species